AUAUCCAGGCCCUGAUCCAAAGCCCAUUAAAGUCAAUGGGAGUCUUUCCCUUGACUUCAAUGGGCUUUGGAUCAGGCCCUGAUGGU
rnacentral:pre_miRNA from 1 species